GAUCAUGGCUCAGGAUGAACGCUAGCUACAGGCUUAACACAUGCAAGUCGAGGGGCAGCAUGAACUUAGCUUGCUAAGUUUGAUGGCGGCCGGCGCACGGGUGAGUAACACGUAUCCAACCUGCCGAUGACUCGGGGAUAGCCUUUCGAAAGAAAGAUUAAUACCCGAUGGCAUAGUUCUUCCGCAUGGUGGAACUAUUAAAGAAUUUCGGUCAUCGAUGGGGAUGCGUUACAUUAGG
rnacentral:rRNA from 1 species